rfam:Chloroflexi bacterium RBG_16_54_18 RBG_16_scaffold_65622, whole genome shotgun sequence.
GGAGUUCAUCAUGUAAAUUUCCCGUUCUACAUGUAGCCAAUCGAGCGCAGGAUGGAGCAAUCUGUCUCGGCGAAACCUCGAAAGGCAAAGGCGCAAGCCAUAGCGCAAGCGAACCCGGUACGGCCUCGUUAGACAGAAUGAGAGCGGUCAGCCUUCCGGAAAUGGUGAAACCAGCACCUGGGGUGAAGAAACGGGAAAGAGCAAUCCCAGGGCUCUCCGGGGUGUGAGGGGA